GCCAUUGUGGCUCAGCGGUAGAUUUCUUGCCUCCCACGCAGGAGACCCGGGUUCGAUUCCUGGCCAACGCA
rnacentral:tRNA from 1 species